GACGAACGCUGGCGGCGUGCUUAACACAUGCAAGUCGAACGGAAAGACCCUGCUUUUGUGGGGUGCUCGAGUGGCGAACGGGUGAGUAACAUGUGAGUAACCUGCCCUUGACUUUGGGAUAACUUCAGGAAACUGGGGCUAAUACCGGAUAGGAGCUCCUGCUGCAUGGUGGGGGUUGGAAAGUUUCGGCGGUUGGGGAUGGACUCGCGGCUUAUCAGCUUGUUGGUGGGGUAGUGGCUUACCAAGGCUUUGACGGGUAGCCGGCCUGAGAGGGUGACCGGCCACAUUGGGACUGAGAUACGGCCCAGACUCCUACGGGAGGCAGCAGUGGGGAAUAUUGCACAAUGGGCGGAAGCCUGAUGCAGCAACGCCGCGUGCGGGAUGACGGCCUUCGGGUUGUAAACCGCUUUCGCCUGUGACGAAGCGUGAGUGACGGUAAUGGGUAAAGAAGCACCGGCUAACUACGUG
rnacentral:rRNA from 1 species